UACGUAGGGUGCAAGCGUUAUCCGGAAUUAUUGGGCGUAAAGAGCUCGUAGGCGGUUUGUCGCGUCUGCUGUGAAAUCCCGAGGCUCAACCUCGGGUCUGCAGUGGGUACGGGCAGACUGGAGUGCGGUAGGGGAGAAUGGAAUUCCUGGUGUAGCGGUGGAAUGCGCAGAUAUCAGGAGGAACACCGAUGGCGAAGGCAGUUCUCUGGGCCGUAACUGACGCUGAGGAGCGAAAGCGUGGGGAGCGAACAGG
rnacentral:rRNA from 1 species